GUGCUCGCGUUGGCAGCACAUAGACUAAGACUGAAACGAUACAGAGAAGAUGAGCAUGGCCCCUGCACAAGGAUGGCAUGCAAAUUCAUGAAACAUCCCAUAUGUAA
rfam:Erinaceus europaeus unplaced genomic scaffold scaffold00660, whole genome shotgun sequence